CUUCCCACUCGCCCCGCCCGUGGUUCCCCUGGGCCUGGGUCCGCCCGCGACGGCCCCCAAGCUCCCACUGGGGCCUGGAGGACAGAGUUUACCGGAGAGACCCCCUUGUUGGAGAUCUCCCGCUGGAGGACGCGGCCGCGUCGCUGAAUUUGCCCGGAAGGGGGAGUAGGAGUUCUCCUGCCUGUCACUCUCAGUCAAGCCUCGUGAAUUUCUCUCGUUCCCUUCUACACGCGCCCUCCGCAGUCUCUUCAAAUUGUCAUCCCACCCUGACAGCUGCACUGCAUCAGUGGUGACAGGUCCAGGAACGCAGGCAGUGAAAAGAAGAGAUUGGACCUGGAAAAGAAACUUUAUGAACAUAAUCAAUCUGAUAUAUGCAGCCUCUCAUUAAAAUCAAAUUCCACUGGGAGAAAUUA